GCUUGAGGCCUCAAUACCCUAAAGGCAACAGAUCCCAUAUGAUCUUGGAAACUAAGCAGGGUCAGCCCUGGUUAGUAUUUGUAUGGAAGACCACCAACUAAUACCAAGUACUCUAGGCU
rnacentral:rRNA from 1 species